rnacentral:rRNA from 1 species
GACGAACGCUGGCGGCGUGCCUAAUACAUGCAAGUAGAACGCUGAAGAGAGGAGCUUGCUCUUCUUGGAUGAGUUGCGAACGGGUGAGUAACGCGUAGGUAACCUGCCUUGUAGCGGGGGAUAACUAUUGGAAACGAUAGCUAAUACCGCAUAACAAUGGAUGACCCAUGUCAUUUAUUUGAAAGGGGCAAAUGCUCCACUACAAGAUGGACCUGCGUUGUAUUAGCUAGUAGGUGAGGUAACGGCUCACCUAGGCGACGAUACAUAGCCGACCUGAGAGGGUGAUCGGCCACACUGGGACUGAGACACGGCCCAGACUCCUACGGGAGGCAGCAGUAGGGAAUCUUCGGCAAUGGGGGCAACCCUGACCGAGCAACGCCGCGUGAGUGAAGAAGGUUUUCGGAUCGUAAAGCUCUGUUGUAAGUCAAGAACGAGUGUGAGAGUGGAAAGUUCACACUGUGACGGUAGCUUACCAGAAAGGGACAGCUAACUACGUG